GCAAUGGUGGUUCAGUGGUAGAAUUUUUGCCUGCCAUGCAGGAGACCUGGGUUUGAGUCCUGCCCAAGGUA
rnacentral:tRNA from 1 species